rnacentral:rRNA from 1 species
AUUGAACGCUGGCGGCAUGCCUUACACAUGCAAGUCGAACGGUAACGGGCCUUCGGGUGCCGACGAGUGGCGAACGGGUGAGUAAUACAUCGGAACGUGCACGAUCGUGGGGGAUAACGAGGCGAAAGCUUUGCUAAUACCGCAUACGAUCUACGGAUGAAAGCAGGGGACCGCAAGGCCUUGCGCGGACGGAGCGGCCGAUGGCAGAUUAGGUAGUUGGUGGGAUAAAAGCUUACCAAGCCGACGAUCUGUAGCUGGUCUGAGAGGAUGAUCAGCCACACUGGGACUGAGACACGGCCCAGACUCCUACGGGAGGCAGCAGUGGGGAAUUUUGGACAAUGGGCGCAAGCCUGAUCCAGCCAUGCCGCGUGCAGGAUGAAGGCCUUCGGGUUGUAAACUGCUUUUGUACGGAACGAAAAGCCUUCUUUUAAUACAGGAGGGUCAUGACGGUACCGUAAGAAUAAGCACCGGAUAACUACGUG